GACGAACGCUGGCGGCGUGCUUAACACAUGCAAGUCGAACGGAAAGGCCCUGCUUGCAGGGUACUCGAGUGGCGAACGGGUGAGUAACACGUGGGUGAUCUGCCCUGCACUUCGGGAUAAGCCUGGGAAACUGGGUCUAAUACCGGAUAGGAGCCAUUUUUAGUGUGAUGAUUGGAAAGUUUUUUCGGUGUAGGAUGAGCUCGCGGCCUAUCAGCUUGUUGGUGGGGUAAUGGCCUACCAAGGCGGCGACGGGUAGCCGGCCUGAGAGGGUGGACGGCCACAUUGGGACUGAGAUACGGCCCAGACUCCUACGGGAGGCAGCAGUGGGGAAUAUUGCACAAUGGGCGCAAGCCUGAUGCAGCGACGCCGCGUGGGGGAGGACGGCCUUCGGGUUGUAAACUCCUUUCGCUAGGGACGAAGCUUUUUGUGACGGUACCUAGAUAAGAAGCACCGGCUAACUACGUG
rnacentral:rRNA from 1 species